rnacentral:rRNA from 1 species
CCUACGGGUGGCAGCAGUGAGGAAUAUUGGUCAAUGGACGAGAGUCUGAACCAGCCAAGUAGCGUGAAGGAUGACUGCCCUAUGGGUUGUAAACUUCUUUUAUAUGGGAAUAAAAUGUUCCACGUGUGGGAUUUUGUAUGUACCAUAUGAAUAAGGAUCGGCUAACUCCGUGCCAGCAGCCGCGGUAAUACGGAGGAUCCGAGCGUUAUCCGGAUUUAUUGGGUUUAAAGGGAGCGUAGGUGGAUUGUUAAGUCAGUUGUGAAAGUUUGCGGCUCAACCGUAAAACUGCAGUUGAAACUGGCAGUCUUGAGUACAGUAGAGGUGGGCGGAAUGCGUGGUGUAGCGGUGAAAUGCUUAGAUAUCACGAAGAACUCCGAUUGCGAAGGCAGUUCACUGGACUGCAACUGACACUGAGGCUCGAAAGUGUGGGUAUCAAACAGGAUUAGAUACCCCUGUAGUC